rnacentral:rRNA from 1 species
UUUGCGGGCGCUACCAUGCAGUCGACGAUGACCACUUCGGUGGGGAUUAGUGGCGAACGGGUGAGUAACACGUGGGCAAUCUGCCCUUCACUCUGGGACAAGCCCUGGAAACGGGGUCUAAUACCGGAUAUCACUUCCACUCGCAUGGGUGGGGGUUGAAAGCUCCGGCGGUGAAGGAUGAGCCCGCGGCCUAUCAGCUUGUUGGUGAGGUAACGGCUCACCAAGGCGACGACGGGUAGCCGGCCUGAGAGGGCGACCGGCCACACUGGGACUGAGACACGGCCCAGACUCCUACGGGAGGCAGCAGUGGGGAAUAUUGCACAAUGGGCGAAAGCCUGAUGCAGCGACGCCGCGUGAGGGAUGACGGCCUUCGGGUUGUAAACCUCUUUCAGCAGGGAAGAAGCGAAAGUGACGGUACCUGCAGAAGAAGCGCCGGCUAACUACGUGCCAGCAGCCGCGGUAAUACGUAGGGCGCAAGCGUUGUCCGGAAUUAUUGGGCGUAAAGAGCUCGUAGGCGGCUUGUCACGUCGGGUGUGAAAGCCCGGGGCUUAACCCCGGGUCUGCAUUCGAUACGGGCUAGCUAGAGUGUGGUAGGGGAGAUCGGAAUUCCUGGUGUAGCGGUGAAAUGCGCAGAUAUCAGGAGGAACACCGGUGGCGAAGGCGGAUCUCUGGGCCAUUACUGACGCUGAGGAGCGAAAGCGUGGGGAGCGAACAGGAUUAGAUACCCUGGUAGUCCACGCCGUAAACGGUGGGAACUAGGUGUUGGCGACAUUCCACGUCGUCGGUGCCGCAGCUAACGCAUUAAGUUCCCCGCCUGGGGAGUACGGCCGCAAGGCUAAAACUCAAAGGAAUUGACGGGGGGCCCGCACAAGCAGCGGAGCAUGUGGCUUAAUUCGACGCAACGCGAAGAACCUUACCAAGGCUUGACAUACACCGGAAACGGCCAGAGAUGGUCGCCCCCUUGUGGUCGGUGUACAGGUGGUGCAUGGCUGUCGUCAGCUCGUGUCGUGAGAUGUUGGGUUAAGUCCCGCAACGAGCGCAACCCUUGUCCUGUGUUGCCAGCAUGCCCUUCGGGGUGAUGGGGACUCACAGGAGACCGCCGGGGUCAACUCGGAGGAAGGUGGGGACGACGUCAAGUCAUCAUGCCCCUUAUGUCUUGGGCUGCACACGUGCUACAAUGGCAGGUACAAUGAGCUGCGAAACCGUGAGGUGGAGCGAAUCUCAAAAAGCCUGUCUCAGUUCGGAUUGGGGUCUGCAACUCGACCCCAUGAAGUCGGAGUUGCUAGUAAUCGCAGAUCAGCAUUGCUGCGGUGAAUACGUUCCCGGGCCUUGUACACACCGCCCGUCACGUCACGAAAGUCGGUAACACCCGAAGCCGGUGGCCCAACCCCUUGUGGGAGGGAGCUUCGAAGUGAUCCCGG